GACGAACGCUGGCGGCGUGCUUAACACAUGCAAGUCGAACGGAAAGGCCCUGCUUGUGUGGGGUGCUCGAGUGGCGAACGGGUGAGUAACACGUGAGUAACCUGCCCUUGACUUUGGGAUAACUUCAGGAAACUGGGGCUAAUACCGGAUAGGAGCUCCUGCUGCAUGGUGGGGGUUGGAAAGUUUCGGCGGUUGGGGAUGGACUCGCGGCUUAUCAGCUUGUUGGUGGGGUAGUGGCUUACCAAGGCUUUGACGGGUAGCCGGCCUGAGAGGGUGACCGGCAUCAUUGGGACUGACAUACGGCACAGACUCCUACGGGAGGCAGCAGUGGGGAAUAUUGCACAAUGGGCCGAAGCCUGAUGCAGCAACGCCGCGUGCGGGAUGACGGCCUUCGGGUUGUAAACCGCUUUCGCCUGUGACGAAGCGUGAGUGACGGUAAUGGGUAAAGAAGCACCGGCUAACUACGUG
rnacentral:rRNA from 1 species